CCGUAGCCCAAGAGAUCGGGAUAACACCUGGAAACAGAUGCUAAUACCGGAUAACAACAGAUGAUGCCUAUCAACUGUUUAAAAGAUGGUUCUGCUAUCACUCUUGGAUGGGCCUGCGGUGCAUUAGCUAGUUGGUAGGGUAACGGCCUACCAAGGCGAUGAUGCAUAGCCGAGUUGAGAGACUGAUCGGCCACAUUGGGACUGAGACACGGCCCAAACUCCUACGGGAGGCAGCAGUA
rnacentral:rRNA from 1 species